AUUGAACGCUGGCGGCAGGCCUAACACAUGCAAGUCGAACGAGUGGCGGACGGGUGAGUAAUGUCUGGGAAACUGCCUGAUGGAGGGGGGUAACUACUGGAAACGGUAGCUAAUACCGCAUACCAUCAGAUGUGCCCAGAUGGGAUUAGCUUGGUGGUGGGGUAACGGAGCAACAAGGAGACGAUCCCUAGCUGGUCUCAUAGGAUGACCAGCCAAACUGGAACUGAGACACGGGACAGACUACGACGGGAGGCAGCAGUGGGGAAUAUUGCACAAGGGGCGCAAGCCUGAUGCAGCCAUGCCGCGUGUAUGAAGAAGGCCUUCGGGUUGUAAAGUACUUUCAGCGGGGAGGCGUGACCCGCAGAAGAAGCACCGGCUAACUCCGUGCCAGCAGCGCGGUAAUUC
rnacentral:rRNA from 1 species